rnacentral:misc_RNA from 1 species
GAUGAAGAACUUAGCGAAAUGCGAUAAGUAAUGUGAAUUGCAGAAUUCAGUGAAUCAUCGAAUCUUUGAACGCACAUUGCGCCCCCUGGUAUUCCGGGGGGCAUGCCUGUCCGAGCGUCAUUACAACCCUCAAGCUCAGCUUGGUAUUGGGCCCCGCCGACCCGGCGGGCCCUAAAGUCAGUGGCGGUGCCGUCCGGCUCCGAGCGUAGUAAUUCUUCUCGCUCUGGAGGUCCGGUCGUGUGCUCGCCAGCAACCCCCAAUUUUUUUCAGGUUGACCUCGGAUCAGGUAGGGAUACCCGCUGAACUUAAGCAUAUCAAUAAGCGGAGGA